CGGCUCAGUACACGUGGAUAACUGCCCUAAGGUGGAGGAUAACCCCGGGAAACUGGGGAUAAUACUCCAUAGGUUAAAGGUACUGGAAUGUUCUUUAACCGAAAGUUCCGGCGCUUUAGGAUGGAUCUGCGGCCGAUUAGGUUGUUGUUGGGGUAGUGGCCCAACAAGCCUGUAAUCGGUACGGGUUGUGGGAGCAAGAGCCCGGAGAUGGAAUCUGAGACACGAUUCCAGGCCCUACGGGGCGCAGCAGGCGCGAAAACUUUACAAUGCAGGAAACUGUGAUAAGGGAACCCCGAGUGCCCGUAUAUGCGGGCUGUCCGGAUGUUUAAAACGCAUCCGAAGAAAGGGCCGGGCAAGACCGGUGCCAGCCGCCGCGGUAAUACCGGCGGCUCGAGUGGUGGCCACUUUUAUUGGGCUUAAAGCGUUCGUAGCUUGAAUAAUAAGUCUCUUGGGAAAUCUGCAGGCUUAACCUGCAGGCGUUUAAGAGAAACUGUUGUUCUAGGAACCGGAAGAGGUGAGAGGUACUCCGGGGGUAGGAGUGAAAUCCUGUAAUCCCCGGGGGACCACCGAUGGCGAAGGCAUCUCACCAGGACGGCUUCGACAGUGAGGAACGAAGGCUGGGGGAGCGAACCGGAUUAGAUACCCGGGUAGUCCCAGCCGUAAACGAUGUGCGUUAGGUGUGCCGGUGACCACGAGUCACUGGGGUGCCGAAGGGAAACCGUGAAACGUACCGCCUGGGAAGUACGGUCGCAAGGCUGAAACUUAAAGGAAUUGGCGGGGGAGCACAAGGG
rnacentral:rRNA from 1 species